UACAGAGGUGGCAAGCGUUGUUCGGAAUUACUGGGCGUAAAGCGUGCGUAGGUGGUGAGUUAAGUCUGUCGUGAAAGCCCCGGGCUCAACCUGGGAAUGGCGAUGGAUACUGGCUCGCUAGAGUGCGGUAGAGGAGAGUGGAAUUCCCGGUGUAGCAGUGAAAUGCGUAGAGAUCGGGAGGAACAUCAGUUGCGAAGGCGGCUCUCUGGACCAGCACUGACACUGAGGCACGAAAGCGUGGGGAGCAAACAGG
rnacentral:rRNA from 1 species